rnacentral:rRNA from 1 species
CACGUAGGGUGCGAGCGUUGUCCGGAAUUAUUGGGCGUAAAGAGCUCGUAGGCGGUGUGUCGCGUCGGCCGUGAAAACCUGGGGCUUAACUCUGGGCGUGCGGUCGAUACGGGCAUCACUGGAGUUCGGCAGGGGAGACUGGAAUUCCUGGUGUAGCGGUGAAAUGCGCAGAUAUCAGGAGGAACACCCGGUGGCGAAGGCGGGGUCUCUGGGCCGAUACUGACGC